CAAGUUGCAUGAUAAAAGGCUUCUUGUGAGCUGAUAAAAGCAUACACCGGUACGGGCAUUAGCCAUUGCAUUUCGGCUGAGUUGAACUUUACGAUGAUUCCUAAUGGGAAUAACUCGUUGGUGUAUCUUUUGGUAGCUGGGAAUGGCUUUCGUGCCAUCCAGA